UUGAACGCUGGCGGCAGGCCUAACACAUGCAAGUCGAACGGUAACAGGAAGCAGCUUGCUGCUUCGCUGACGAGUGGCGGACGGGUGAGUAAUGUCUGGGAAGCUGCCUGAUGGAGGGGGAUAACUACUGGAAACGGUAGCUAAUACCGCAUAAUGUCGCAAGACCAAAGAGGGGGACCUUCGGGCCUCUUGCCAUCGGAUGUGCCCAGAUGGGAUUAGCUUGUUGGUGGGGUAACGGCUCACCAAGGCAACGAUCCCUAGCUGGUCUGAGAGGGUGACCGGACAAACGGGGACUGAGACACGGGCCAGCCGCCUAAGGGAGGCAGCAGUGGGGAAUCUUGCGAAAUGGGCGGAAGCCUGACGGAGCAACGCCGCGUGGAUGAAGAAGGUCUUCGGAUUGUAAAAUUCUUUUAGCGGGGAGGAAGAGAGUGGAGAGGAAAUAUGCGCGUAUUGACGGUACCUGAAGAAGAAGCCCCGGCUAACUACGUG
rnacentral:rRNA from 1 species